UGUGGGGAUCACUACUUCAGUAUUCAGUCACAACCACGCCACUCGUUGUUCAACGACGACGAGAGUAACACAUAUUUUUAUUAUUAUUUAAAUUAUUAAAAAACAUUUAUAUAAAUUUCUCUUAAAUUAUUGUGAUAUUUGUGUCAAUUUAAUACAACUGAUAACAAAAUCGUACGAUUAUUUCGUUCACCAUGGGUGGCUUUGCAUGGGUUACAUUGGCCACAAAUGAUUCUUAUUCAUUGGGAGCAUUGGUAUUGGCUCAUUCAUUAAAAAAAGUUUCAACAAAAUAUGAUUUAGCUGUACUAAUAACACCAGGAGUAACUGAAGUAAUGAGAGAAAAACUAUCAGCUGUAUUUACACUUGUUAAAGAAGUUAAUGUCCUGGAUUCAAAAGACGAAGCAAAUCUUGCACUUCUAGCAAGACCAGAACUUGGAAUAACAUUUACAAAAUUACACUGUUGGAGAUUAACACAAUAUGAUAAAUGUGUUUUCAUUGAUGCUGAUGCAUUGGUCAUUAAAAAUAGUGAUGAAUUAUUUGAACGUGAUGAAUUAUCAGCAGCACCAGAUGUCGGUUGGCCAGAUUGUUUUAAUUCUGGUGUAUUUGUAUUUAAACCAUCACAAAUUACAUUUUCAUCAUUAACAUCACAUGCUAAAUUACAUGGUUCAUUUGAUGGUGGUGAUCAAGGUCUUUUAAAUUCAUUUUUUAGUGAUUGGGCACAUAAAGAUAUAUCAAAACAUUUACCAUUUAUUUAUAACAUGUGUUCAACUGCAACUUAUUCAUAUCUUCCUGCAUUCAAACAAUUUGGUGAAGAUGUUAAAAUUAUUCAUUUCAUUGGAAGCACUAAACCUUGGCUUCAAUAUUUCGAUACAUUGACUGGUCAAGUACAGCCACAUCCAGACACUGGAUAUCUUCAGCCAAUGCUUCAACAUUGGUGGAAUAUAUUCUGUGAAAAUGUACAUCCACAAUUAUCACCAGUAAUGCUAAGCACUGAACAAAGGGCUACGCGAUAUUGCGAGGCCAGCAGUACAUUGGCAACAGCACACUGGCACGAUUUACAAUUUCCUGUAUCCUCAAAACCCACAUUGACAAGACAUGUAUGUCAUGACACAACAACAACAGAAAAAAAAACCCAUGAUGAAAUAGAUGCAGUACCAGAUUUUACAAAUUUUAGAGAUCCAUGGGAAUAUUAUAUUGUAUCAACACCAGAAAAUCCUGUUGCACAUAGUUCCCAACAAAUUCCUCAACAAACACAUACAAUACAACAACAACAAAUUUCUCAAGAUGAUGUUUAUCAAAUUAGUCAAUCAAUGAAUAACAUAACAAUUCAACAUGAUCAAAUAAAUACUAAUAAUAAUGAAAAUAUACAAAAUCAAACAACACAUGAUUAUCCACAUUAUCAAUAUUAUAAUAAUCAAUUACAAAAUAUUAAACAUGACGUUAGUGUAGAUAGUAGCUCAUCAUAUCAACAACAACAACAUGAACAAUCUAAACCAUCAACAAGUAGACAAGUUCAAAGUCAUGUUGAAUAUACAAGACAUAAUUUAACAGAACAAAAUCAAGCUAAUGAUGGUGUUGAUGAAACAGAUAAAAUUAGUAAAAUAUUAGAUAAUGAUUAUGAUGAAAUUGAUAGAAUUUUAAAUAGUAAAUUUAUUAAUGACAAUAAACAAACUGACAAUAAUCAAAAUAAUAAAAUAAUAAAUACAAUAUCCCAAUUCCAAAAUUGUACAGAGUCUAAUAUUGUUGGAUCAAAAUCUGACAUGAAAAUUAUCAGCAAUGAUGAAAAUAAUGCUGGAAUUGCUGGUGCAUUGGCGAAGAUAACACUUGGUGAAACAAGAAGUUCUGAGCAAGUUGCACUUGAAGAACAUAUGAGAAAAUAUGGGUGGGAACAAGGACAAAUUGAUUACAUGGGACGUGAUAGUUUUGAUAAUAUUUGGAAAAAAAUUAACACGACUCUUGAGACAUCAUCAUCAUCAUCAAAGAGUGACAAAGUUUCAGUCAAGACAAAAUCUGGAGAGACAGAAGAAAAAGUUUCGACAAAAAAAGCUGAUCUAUCAACAGAAAAAUCAAGUAAAAAUAUUCCUGAUGAAACAAAAACAACUGACGCAGGAACUGAGGAGAGCAAUUAACAGAUCGUGACAACCAUAUCAUUGCUGCGUCUUGUAUUGUCGUUUUGUUUUGACUGGGCUGUAUCAUCAGAUGAAACUUUAGAAAAAACAAUAAAUGAGGCCAAAGAAAUUUUAUCAACAAACAUUGAAUCAUCACCGGGAUCAUCAUCAGAGGUAAUAUUAUCCGUCAAAGCAG
rnacentral:misc_RNA from 1 species